AUCACUUGAUGAACAUGAAAAUAAAAGACAAGCAUAUGUCUGAUUUUCCUUGAAGACACGUUUUUUCACGUCUGAUGAU
rfam:Pichia membranifaciens DNA, contig: CON036, strain: KS47-1.